GCAACCAUAGUCAAGUGGUUACGAUUCUCGCUUCCCAAGCGAGGGGCCCGGGUUCGAACCCCGGUGGUUGCA